AGAGUUUGAUCAUGGCUCAGAUUGAACGCUGGCGGCAUGCCUUACACAUGCAAGUCGAACGGUAACGCGGGGCGACCUGGCGACGAGUGGCGAACGGGUGAGUAAUGCAUCGGAACGUGCCCAGUAGUGGGGGAUAGCCCGGCGAAAGCCGGAUUAAUACCGCAUACGACCUACGGGUGAAAGGGGGGGAUCGCAAGACCUCUCGCUAUUGGAGCGGCCGAUGUCAGAUUAGGUAGUUGGUGGGGUAAAGGCCUACCAAGCCGACGAUCUGUAGCUGGUCUGAGAGGACGACCAGCCACACUGGGACUGAGACACGGCCCAGACUCCUACGGGAGGCAGCAGUGGGGAAUUUUGGACAAUGGGCGCAAGCCUGAUCCAGCCAUGCCGCGUGCGGGAAGAAGGCCUUCGGGUUGUAAACCGCUUUUGUCAGGGAAGAAAUCUUCUGGGUUAAUACCUCGGGAGGAUGACGGUACCUGAAGAAUAAGCACCGGCUAACUACGUGCCAGCAGCCGCGGUAAUACGUAGGGUGCAAGCGUUAAUCGGAAUUACUGGGCGUAAAGCGUGCGCAGGCGGUUAUGCAAGACAGAUGUGAAAUCCCCGGGCUCAACCUGGGAACUGCAUUUGUGACUGCAUAGCUGGAGUGCGGCAGAGGGGGAUGGAAUUCCGCGUGUAGCAGUGAAAUGCGUAGAUAUGCGGAGGAACAC
rnacentral:rRNA from 1 species